CCGGUUGGACGACAGUCAAGAACCGAAAGCACGGAACACCACGAGAAAAGGUAACUUUAGAAGACGAAAGCAAACGAGUGUUCCAAUCUUUUUAUUUCGCGUGAUAAGAGACUGUACAGUACAUACAGAAGAACGAAAACAGAGAGAAAGAAAGAAGAAAACAGAAAGAAGGUUGCUGCACUUGCGUCGGCGUCCCCGAGUUUGGGAGUAGCACUUUAAUUUUUUCUUAGGAUACAAAGGUUGAUCCACAAACCACCAUCAAUAAAUCACCAUGCGAAGCCUGAGUUUAGCCGUUCUCCUCCUCGCCUGCCUCGCAGCCAUCAUCUCAAGAGAAUCGCCCGUCCAAGCAGUACCACGGAUAAGACCCGCCAUCUUGCAGCACGGUAUGCCGUUCGGAAAGAGGGGAUACAGCGGAAACAAUGCAAGGGAUUGCUUCCACAGAGCGCUCAACGACGAUAAAAACAGCGAAGAGCUUGUCAAUCUGAUCGAGGCAUGGUACAGGAUGAAAGUUGAGGAUGGACUUAGUUGUAUGAACGGAUUAUCAGCAUUCGACGAGGCCGCGGCAUAGUGGGACUACCCUCUUUUGUUUUGUUCAACGUUUCCUCGUGUCUUCAUGUUGCUUCAGAAAUUUCUUCUCAUCACACCCCCACAAGAUGACAUCACUGCACUUAGCCAAAGAAAUUGGACUUUGCCUGAUGAGACAGGACAAAAACAAAAUAGACCCAAUUAUUACAACAAAAAUAAAACCCGGUGAACGUUUCAAUGAGCUUGUAAAUAUAACAGUUUUAUGAACUAAAUAGCAAACUCCAACACUCAAUUUUUUCAUUCUGCGCUCGUCAGCGGAAUAUCAGGCACAACCAUCCUUCUCUUCUCUCUCCUACGCUGAAUUUCAUGAGCAAAAUAUUUUUUUCUUUCUAGUAAGGCCUAAUUAGUAAUGUGAAAGAUGCGAUAUUUCAAAUUGUCAAUUAUUAUAGUUGCAAUGUUUAUUAAAUUAAUAUUGAAUUCUAGCUUCUCCCCCUCUUUGAUAUUAAAUCCCAACCAUCGUUGUUAUAAAAACAUUGAGUGACUAGACGGAGAAACUACACUACCCGCGUCGCUGAGGUGAAAUUCCAUUAUUCAACCAUCUCCAAGGAAAGUUCAUUUUGAAAAAUUUGGACGGAAUUCAAUAAGAAAGAAAGAAAUUUAGAAAGAAAGAAGAAAGAAAGAAGAAGAGGUGGUGUCAAUCGCGAAUUGGAAACCUUACGGAGGACACCGGUACCCACAGGAAAUGGCUGACACGACGAGGGCGGCAGGCAUAGCAGCUAUAGAACCCACGUCUCCCUCGGUAUGGUAUACAUGGCCUUUCUGCCCGCUUCAAUUACAAUCAACGAUACCACAUAAAUGACUAUUGAUCUAUUCUAUUCCAUCUAACUCGAAAGGCUCAUAAGUCGUAGAGGACUAUCGACGUAUAUCUUGAUAGGGAGGUUACCAGAGGAAAGCAAAUAAGUCGUCAUAUCGAUGGUAUAUUGCCUGGCACGGAGGGCAAGCGUCUAGCUCGAUCAUCUCUUCCAUUCUUCACUCUCGACUUACUCUCAUUUUUAAAUACUAUUCGGGAACACACAUGAUCUUUAUUAGGACUUUGUAUGUCGUAUCGAUUAUCAUUUAGUCUAGCUUAAUUCCACUUUCUCGUACUCAGUUGCAACUAUUUUUGUGAUCAAAGUCUAGUUCAAUAGUGAUGGACUAAAAUCACCAUUGCCGUCAAAAAAUGUGUUUGUCUUUUUUUUCGAGAGCUACAUGUAUACUAGCUGAUGUAAAUAUGAGAAAUGAACUGACGUCCUUACUUACUAUUUCCUUCCUUAGCCUGUGAAUAGUUUUCUUAUGCUUUCGUGUUGUAAAUAGUUCAUAAGAAAUAAAAAUAUAUAGUUUUAUUAGUGCACGCUAUCAUGCUAUCAAUAAACCCGUCUCAAAUUUCAUCAUGUCGUCAUAUUAUGAACAGUAUGUAGGAAUUAAACAUUUACAUUAAUUUGUUUAUAAACUCUCUAGACCUUUCUUUCUUAUUUUUGUCUUUUAUUUUGAUGAUUUUUCUUCACACAUUACAAGCCAUGGCAUGAAGGUUCAAUUUUGACAGGCUAUUUCUAAAUAAAAUUCACUCUUAUCCAUCCUA